AGUCGAGUGGCGGCUCCAAACCCCGUGACUCGUGAGCACGAAGACCCUGGCAUUUCCCAUCCAAACCUACCUCACUCGUCGGGAUAAGAUGGCUCCCGUUUGAUUCCGUCGAGUAAAAGAUUGGUGUUAAUUCACGAUGAAUUUAAUAAGUUUAAUUAAUUUAUGAGUUGCUAUAAUAAUAGUAACACUUCAUUGAUUAUAAAUUAAUAUAUUAGAUUUAUUCCGCGAAUUAGUUAGAGAAUCUACAAUUAAUUUUAUAAUUAAAUUUUAUUUAAUACUUUUAAAUAAUAGAUCAAACACGGAAACAACCUGCUCGCUACCGCCUUCCCAGCCCUCUUCUCUCGGCGCGGUAGCGCGCCGCCACCCGCCCGCCCUCCCUCUAGUACUGUACCGCCGCACUACCUCCCUCCCUCUGCUCUGGGCGUCGCCCCCUUCUCUCUCUGCGGCGCCGUCCUCUCCCCCCAUCUCUCGAGCUGCUUGCAAAUGCUAUCGGGACUGCUUUGUUUCCAUUACUUGGGCCACUCGAAACAAGGCCCAAUUGGCCCAUGCAUCAUAGCCCCUUUCCCUUUCUUCAGUUGCCUGCGCUGACGGACUCCGCCGCCCUGUUCCGCUGUUCGUCUUCUCCAACGGCGGCGGCCAACAAGCGCAGCUGCUGGGGUCAGCGAGGCAAGCGCGGAGCAAGGGGGGCCCGGAGCCAGUUUCGCAUCCACUAAGGACUGCCUUGUCGAGUCAAACCGCAACUGGAAGGCCUGCCAAGCACAGGUUCAAGCCUUGAAAGCCUGCCAGGCUAAAAGAAACAAAAAUGAUCAGACCUAACACUUUACAUCUGCAAGUAGCUGAUAUCAUAAAAUGGU